CUAGGGAUUAAUUAGAAAAAUACACAAAAUAAUAACCUAAACCUUGACUCUACAUAUGGAAGGCCAAAAUCGGGGAAAGGGACGAGGAAAAUAUGCCAAAAAAUCUGAGGAGGAGACCGGACGAGCGCCGCAAAAGACAUGACUCAUGUCCCCAUUCUUCAUCUUCUCCAACGCUUGAGCAUAGCAGCCAUAGCCAUAAACACAACCAAACAACCGUAGCUCCCGGCUCGUUCUCAUCCAUUAACAUUACCAUAUCAAAGCUCCCAAAUCAGUCCCCAAAAACUCCAUAAAGUAAGCUGAAACUUCAGCUCAAAACCAGCAAAAACACCCAAAAUUCAGCCAUGAAACACCCCUAAACUCCGACAAAACAAGCUGCGAAAAACAGCUAGGAAAAGCAGCGAAGAACCAGCUGCAAAAUACUCCAAAUUGCAACCCCUCUUCUCCCAAAUAAUCAGCUCCAAACAACCACCAAAAGCUAGCUGAAACUCAGCACCAAACCACCCCAAAACUAGCCGUCGUCGCACCAUGUUUGCCGAUGAUAAGAGUUUCAUUUCGACUGUGUAAAGCCACCUAAAUUCAGUCGAGUUUUGAGUUGGGUUCAAGGUUUCCAGCCGGCGCGGGUCUCUAUUUGGAUCGAUGUUUGUUUGUUGUUGUUUCGCUCAAUUAAUCGAGCUUCAGUUUGUGGUUGUUCUUGGCUUUUUUUGUUCUGCUAAGUUUGUUAUUUGCUAUUUAGAUGUGGAUGAAUUCUACAUCUAUGAGAUCUAGGUAAUUUUUAUUUGAAUUUAUAUUGACGGUUUGUUGUACAUUGUGGAUUUUAUGGCUUUUGAUUAUAGUAACACAUGCUGUCAAUUUAAGUACUUUGAGAAUUGGAUGUAAAAAAGAAAACUGAUAAUCUUAGUUUCAAUAUUUAGUGCUAAUAAAUGAGUUUUCUGU
rnacentral:lncRNA from 1 species